rnacentral:rRNA from 1 species
CCUACGGGUGGCAGCAGUGGGGGAUAUUGCACAAUGGGGGAAACCCUGAUGCAGCGACGCCGCGUGGGUGAAGAAGCGCCUCGGCGCGUAAAGCCCUGUCAGCAGGGAAGAAAAUGACGGUACCUGAAGAAGAAGCCCCGGCUAACUACGUGCCAGCAGCCGCGGUAAUACGUAGGGGGCACGCGUUAUCCGGAUUUACUGGGUGUAAAGGGGGCGCAGACGGCGAUGCAAGCCAGGAGUGAAAGCCCGGGGCCCAACCCCGGGACUGCUCUUGGAACUGCGUGGCUAGAGUGCAGGAGGGGCAGGGGGAAUUCCUGGGGGAGCGGUGAAAUGGGUAGAUAACAGGAGGAAAACCGGUGGGGAAGGCGGGCUGCUGGACCGCAACUGACGUUGAGGCCCGAAAGCGGGGGGAGCAAACAGGAUUAGAUACCCUGGUAGUC